CAGACCUCUAAUNGGAAAAGACUACCCGCUGAGUUUAA
rnacentral:rRNA from 1 species